rnacentral:tRNA from 1 species
GACCGCGUAGCUCAGUUGGAAGAGCAUUGGGCUAGUAUUCCAAAGGUCGUAGGUUCGAAUCCCCCCGUAGCCG